UUUCGGAUGGAAUCCUCACAAGGUCCUGCUAUAACUCAAGAUGCGCUCCCAACUACCCUGUUUAUUUCUACUGGCGACUCUUCUUCUCACGUCCUUCUUUCCUAGUGAUGUGUCAGGAUUUGCGAUGUUUUCGGGAUACAAGGGGGGCAAAAGACAAAUCACACAGUUUUCUUGGACUGAGCGUAACGCAAUUUGCAAGGUCGCCAAGAAUCUUGGAUGCGGUGGUACCUCAAAGAGGGAAUAAUACACACGAUGACCGACGGAAGUAAUGGUGCUAUCUAGUGGCCUUGGACUGAAAAAAACAUGACAAUGAUGAAUGGGUGUGAUCUACCAUCAGAAAAUCAUGAUUAUUUAUUAUAAAUGUGUGUAUCAUUGUUUGAUAAGAACUCGAAACAUG